UUAGGAGCUUGCUCCUGAUGGUUAGCGGCGGACGGGUGAGUAACACGUGGGCAACCUGCCUGUAAGACUGGGAUAACACCGGGAAACCGGUGCUAAUACCGGAUAAUUCUUCACCUCUCAUGAGGUGAAGCUGAAAGUCGGUUUCGGCUGACACUUACAGAUGGGCCCGCGGCGCAUUAGCUAGUUGGUGAGGUAACGGCUCACCAAGGCGACGAUGCGUAGCCGACCUGANAGGGUGAUCGGCCACACUGGGACUGAGACACGGCCCAGACUCCUACAGGAGGCAGCAGUAGGGAAUCUUCCGCANUGGACGAAAGUCUGACGGAUCAACGCCGCGUGAGUGAUGAAGGCCUUC
rnacentral:rRNA from 1 species